rnacentral:lncRNA from 1 species
GAAAGGUUGAGCUAAGCUUUAUUUUUUCAGGAUAUAUUUUCAAAUGUAUAGGUUUUGAAGGCCAAUUGCCAAUUCACGAAUAUAUGGAAAUAAAACACAAGAGCAAAUGCCAAAUGCUUCUUAAAAUCACGGGGUUUUUAUAUUCAUGUGGAUAAUGGAGAGAGAUAAAAUGAUAGAUAAAAGCCCGUUUGGGUUUGUCGUGGAUUUCCAUACAAGACAGACAUUUUCUUAAGUUUCCAGAUUCUUCAUUUACAAACACUUGUCUAAUAUUUUAAGCUUCCCACACGGCAGCAGACAUUUCCUUAUUUUGCUUCUCGGAAGUACUUGGGAAAAGAUAACCCAAAAGAUACUUCUAAGUGAAGCCCGUCCUUGCUGGUUGACCUCAGGAAACCAUGGGAAGUGUGUGGCCAUCUCUGCAAGGAUGCUGGGUGUGAAAAGUCUUGAGAUUACACAACAAAACAGUCCCUCCCCAGGUGGCCAAGCAGAUGCUGACACCAUGCCCUUGGACUUUCCAGCCUCCAGAACUGUGAGCCAAGAAAAUAAAAAUGGACUGGAGAGCUAAGGUGAAGAAAAGACGUGUAUGUGUCCCUUAUUUACAACAAUUUCUCACCAGGAAAAGGUGGCUGCUCAGAAGUAGGAAGGGAAGAAUAAAACAUCCUUGCUUUGAGCUCGGUGUCUUGGCCUGGAUUUUCUUAAUUUCUUUGGUUCUGGUUUAGAUUGGAAUCCUCAUCAAGCUCAUUUGUUGUUGAAUAAAAAAUUUAGUGAUUGUUGCCUUUGUUGUUUACCAGUUUUCUAACCAUUCCUAUUGACUGAUGUGCAUGCAGUAAGAACAGUGGAAUAACUGGGUUUUCGUUUUCUUUCUUUCUUCAAGUUACUGAUGGGGUUUCAGGAUCACAGUUCAGAACUGAUCAAAAUAAAAAUCUUCCCUCCAGUUAUCUUAGGUCAAGCAGAUGUGAAUCAGCUUGUGGGUUUACCAGAAUGAUUUGUUAUUUUCCAUGGAAAACAAGAAAGUUCUGUGGACCAGCAGCUUCCUUCUGCCUCUCUCUCCUCCAGCACUUUAGUGCAGCCAUUGUGUAAUUGGGUUUCCAAAAAAAAAAAAAAAAACCUGAAAAAGUUUCUCAACUGCACCAACAUACCAGGAACUUGUACUGCAUCCAGAAAU